rnacentral:rRNA from 1 species
UAAAUACUACCUGAUGACCGAUAGUGAAGCAGUACCGUGAGGGAAAGGUGAAAAGAACCCCGGGAGGGGAGUGAAAUAGAACCUGAAACCGUGUGCCUACAACCGCUCAGAGCCCCUUAUGAGGGUGAUGAGGUGCUUUUUGUAGAACGAGCCAACGAGUUACGGUAUGUAGCAAGGUUAAGUACUUAAGGUACGGAGCCGAAGGGAAACCGAGUCUGAAUAGGGCGACUAGUUGCAUGCCGUAGACCCGAAACCGGGUGACCUAUCCAUGGCCAGGUUGAAGCGAGGGUAAAACCUCGUGGAGGACCGAACCACGUUGCUGUUGAAAAAGCAUGGGAUGAGCUGUGGAUAGCGGAGAAAUUCCAAUCGAACCCGGAGAUAGCUGGUUCUCUCCGAAAUAGCUUUAGGGCUAGCGUCGAGUAUGAGUAGUGGAGGUAGAGCACUGAAUGGGCUAGGGGGCAUAGCGCUUACCGAACCUUAUCAAACUCCGAAUGCCACAUACUUUGAGCUCGGCAGUCAGACUACGAAUGAUAAGAUCCGUGGUCAAAAGGGAAACAGCCCAGAUCGUCAGCUAAGGUCCCAAAGUGUAAGUUAAGUGGGAAAGGAUGUGAGAUUUCUAAGACAACUAGGAUGUUGGCUUAGAAGCAGCCAUUCAUUAAAAGAGUGCGUAAUAGCUCACUAGUCGAGAGAUCUUGCGCCGAAAAUGUAACGGGGCUAAACUUACC